UACGUAGGGUGCAAGCGUUAAUCGGAAUUACUGGGCGUAAAGCGUGCGCUAGGCGGUUCGCUAAGACCCGAUGUGAAAAUCCCCGGGCUUAACCUGGGAACUGCAUUGGUGACUGGCGGGCUAGAGUAUGGCAGAGGGGGGUAGAAUUCCACGUGUAGCAGUGAAAUGCGUAGAGAUGUGGAGGAAUACCGAUGGCGAAGGCAGCCCCCUGGGCCAAUACUGACGCUCUGCACGAAAGCGUGGGGAGCAAACAGG
rnacentral:rRNA from 1 species